UACGGAGGGUGCGAGCGUUGUUCGGAAUUACUGGGCGUAAAGCGCGUGUAGGUGGCGAGGCAAGUCGGGUGUGAAAGCCCUGGGCUCAACCCAGGAAGUGCACUCGAUACUGCCUAGCUAGAGUCCCGGAGAGGUUGGUGGAACUCUCGGUGUAGAGGUGAAAUUCGUAGAUAUCGAGAAGAACACCGGUGGCGAAGGCGGCCAACUGGACGGUGACUGACACUGAGACGCGAAAGCGUGGGGAGCAAACAGG
rnacentral:rRNA from 1 species